rnacentral:rRNA from 1 species
GACGAACGCUGGCGGCGUGCUUAACACAUGCCAGUCGAACGGAAAGGCCCUGCUUUUGUGGGGUGCUCGAGUGGCGAACGGGUGAGUAACACGCGAGUAACCUGCCCUUGACUUUGGGAUAACUUCAGGAAACUGGGGCUAAUACCGGAUAGGAGCUCCUGCUGCAUGGUGGGGGUUGGAAAGUUUCGGCGGUUGGGGAUGGACUCGCGGCUUAUCAGCUUGUUGGUGGGGUAGUGGCUUACCAAGGCUUUGACGGGUAGCCGGCCUGAGAGGGUGACCGGCCACAUUGGGACUGAGAUACGGCCCAGACUCCUACGGGAGGCAGCAGUGGGGAAUAUUGCACAAUGGGCGGAAGCCUGAUGCAGCAACGCCGCGUGCGGGAUGACGGCCUUCGGGUUGUAAACCGCUUUAGCCUGUGACGAAGCGUGAGUGACGGUAAUGGGUAAAGAAGCACCGGCUAACUACGUG